rnacentral:lncRNA from 1 species
UGCAAAUGAAACAAGUGAAACUGCGAGCUACUGCUCACUGAUGAUACCCCCGCCGCAAGUGGAUAAUAUUAAUAGUGUAAAAAUAUGCAAGUGUUCGGUAAACAGGAAGUUGUCGAGUGAUGAAUCUGAAAACGCAUCACACGGUAUAGCUGACUUAUAAAAAUCCUGAAACCGAAUUUCAGAAAUCCUUGUAUUGUAGUUCCUGAGAAAAAUAUGACGAAAAUUUUUAACUUGGUUAUCAUGUGUAAAAUCAUACAAGUGUUCGGUAAACAGGAAGUUGUCGAGUGAUGAAUCUGAAAACGCAUCACACGGUAUAGCUGACUUAUAUAAAUCCUGAAACCAAAUUUCAGAAAUCCUUGUAUUGUAGUUCCUGAGAAAAAUGUGACGAAAAUUUUCAACUUGGCUGUCAUGUGUAAAAUCAGACAAGUGUUCGGUAAACAGGAAGUUGUCAAGUGAUGAAUCUGAAAACGCAUCACACGGUAUGGCUGACAUAUAUAAAUGUUGAUACCAAAUUACAGAAAGGGUGGAUGUGUAGUUCCUGAGAAAAAUGUGACGAAAGUUUCAUGGGACGGACUGACUGACGGACUGAUGGACGGACGGACGGACGGACGGACUGACGGACUGACAGACAGAGGUAAAACAGUAUACCCCCCCUUUUUUAAAGCGGGGGUAUAAAAAAUGCAAAAU